GUGGAGGGUGAUGGCAAUGGCGUCGUCUGUUGAACAGUUGGGAAGGCAGCGAGAGCUAUAGGUGUCCUCCAGGGCUGGGAGUUGUGUCCCGAUGAUCUUCUGUACACUAGAGACGACCCGCUGAAGUGCUUUCCCAUCAGCUGCUGUACAACUGAGAUGCCACACAGAGGUGCAGUACGUUAAGAUGCUCUCUAUGGUGCAGCGGUAAAAGGUCACCAGCAUCUGUUCAGGAGCUUGUAAAUCUGCUGUUGACUGGUAAAGCUGUCUCCAAUGUUUUCAACGAUGUUGUAGAGUUGGAUUCUGGCAAUGGUAACAUCACGGUCCUCAAAGGAAUUUCUGGGCGUAGUGACAUUGGACUGCUGUCACUCUUUGAGCACUAUAGCAUCUGUAAGGGGCCGUGCACGAUCCUGAUUUGAUGGAGACAGACUUGAGAAGCAUGGAGGAACACCUGGAGAAACUUCUGAAAUGCCUGCUUCGCUGCUGCUGCUACUGUGCGAUUGAGAAUCUCCGGAGGGGAAGGUCCCAAAUCCUUGGCUUUGCCUACUGCCUGUUGCCGGGACGGGGUCGAAGCGCUCGGCAGAGAUGGUGCUCGGUGUUGGAGGGCUGGUCGGAGGCUUGAAGUUUUCGGACGGACUCAGAGUCGGCUGUGGUUGGGUACUUCCAGGAUGCUGCGUCGGCAAGUUUGCGGCGCUGGAAGCUCAUGGCAGGGAGAGUUUCUCCCUUUAACCAUCUGUGUGAGAUGAUGGGACUUUCGAGAGACUUUGAGACUUUUUUUUACCGUGCCCAUGGUCUGUUCUUUAUCAAAUUACAGUAUUGCUUUGCACUGUUGUAACUAUAUGUUAUAAUUUUGUGGUUUUUGUCAGUUUUUUUUUAGUCUUGGUUUGUCUUGUGUUUCUGUGA